rnacentral:rRNA from 1 species
AAUCAACGCUGGCGGCGUGCCUCAGACAUGCAAGUCGAACGAUUAAAGCUCUCUUCGGAGAGUGCAUAGAGUGGCGCACGGGUGAGUAACACGUAAGUAAUCUACCCUCGAGUGGGGAAUAACAUCGGGAAACCGGAUGCUAAUACCGCAUAAUGCAGCGGCACCGCAAGGUGACAGUUGUUAAAGAUUUAUCGCUUGAGGAGGAGCUUGCGGCAGAUUAGCUAGUUGGUAAGGUAAUGGCUUACCAAGGCUACGAUCUGUAACCGGUCUAAGAGGACGGUCGGUCACACUGACACUGAAUAACGGGUCAGACUCCUAC